AUUGAACGCUGGCGGCAGGCCUAACACAUGCAAGUCGAGCGAGCGGCGGACGGUUGAGUAAUGUCUGGGAAACUGCCUGAUGUAGGGGGAUAACUACUGGAAACGGUAGCUAAUACCGCAUACCAUCAGAUGUGCCCAGAUGGGAUUAGCUAGUAGGUGGGGUAACGGCUCACCUAGGCGACGAUCCCUCGCUGGUCUGAGAGGAUGACCAGCAAAACUGGAAUUGGGACACGGUCCAGACUACUACGGGAGGCAGCAGUGGGGAAUAGUGCACAAUGGGCGCAAGCCUGAUGCAGCCAUGCCGCGUGUAUGAAGAAGGCAUGCGGGUUGUAAAGUACUUUCAGCGGGGAGGCGUUACCCGCAGAAGAAGCACCGGCUAACUCCGUGCCAGCAGCCGCGGUAAUAC
rnacentral:rRNA from 1 species